AUGGAGGUGAACGGCACAGAAGACACCGGACAGGAUGGGGAGGAAGCAAUGAGCAUCUCAGCAUUCUGGACAGGCUCCAGAGGCGUUGGCACAGGUACUGGAGGGGAGGUGGUGUGUAGGUGGUGCAGGAUGGAGUUGAGGACCACAGGUGGGGCUAUGCCAACACGGGCCAGUGGGAUAUCAUCAUCAGAGGAGGAGAUCGCGAGGUCAAGGAACUGGUCGGCAGCUAGGGCAGCAUUUCUGGAAGGGGAGGAUGGAGGUCCCUGUGGAACUCAGGUGACACGACCACCGGCCCAAAGGCGGCCAUGGCAGCCUCAGCGCGCUCCAAGCCAAGCUGCUGGGUAUAUCAGGAUUACUACGUACCAAGUCAGUUUGAUAGAACUGAUUUGUGAACCUAGAUUAGUUGCAGAGCCAUACCUAAUUUUCAAAAGACUUUAG
rnacentral:rRNA from 1 species